CCUACGGGAGGCAGCAGUGAGGAAUAUUGGUCAAUGGACGCAAGUCUGAACCAGCCAUGCCGCGUGCAGGAAGACGGCUCUAUGAGUUGUAAACUGCUUUUGUACGGGGGUAAACGGAGAUACGCGUAUCUGUCUGAGAGUAUCGUAAGAAUAAGCAUCGGCUAACUCCGUGCCAGCAGCCGCGGUAAUACGGAGGAUUCAAGCGUUAUCCGGAUUUAUUGGGGUUAAAGGGUGCGGAGGCGGGAGGACAAGUUAGAGGUGAAAUCCCGGGGGUCAACCUCGGAAUUGCCUUUGAUACUGUGCGGCUUGAGUGCAGGAGAGGUAGGCGGAAUGCAUGGUGUAGCGGUGAAAUGCGUAGAGAUCAGGCAGAACACCGAUUGCGAAGGCAGCAUACC
rnacentral:rRNA from 1 species